UCGGGAAUAUUGGACAAUGGGCGCAAGCCUGAUCCAGCAAUACCGCGUGUGUGAAGAAGGCCUGCGGGUUGUAAAGCACUUUCAGUUGGGAAGAUAAUGACGUUACCAACAGAAGAAGCACCGGCUAACUCCGUGCCAGCAGCCGCGGUAAUACGGAGGGUGCAAGCGUUAAUCGGAAUUACUGGGCGUAAAGCGCACGUAGGCGGCCUUUUAAGUCAGAUGUGAAAUCCCCGGGCUUAACCUGGGAACUGCACCUGAUACUGGGAGGCUAGAAUGUGGGAGAGGAGAGUGGAAUUUCCGGUGUAGCGGUGAAAUGCAUAGAGAUCGGAAGGAACACCAGUGGCGAAGGCGGCUCUCUGGACCAACAUUGACGCUGAGGUGCGAAAGCGUGGGUAGCAAACAGG
rnacentral:rRNA from 1 species